AACGAACGCUGGCGGCAUGCCUAACACAUGCAAGUCGAACGAGACCUUCGGGUCUAGUGGCGCACGGGUGCGUAACGCGUGGGAACCUGCCCUUAGGUUCGGAAUAACUCCCCGAAAGGGGUGCUAAUACCGGAUAAUGUCUUCGGACCAAAGAUUUAUCGCCUUUGGAUGGGCCCGCGUUGGAUUAGCUAGUUGGUAGGGUAAAAGCCUACCAAGGCGACGAUCCAUAGCUGGUCUGAGAGGAUGAUCAGCCACACUGGGACUGAGACACGGCCCAGACUCCUACGGGAGGCAGCAGUGGGUAAUAUUGGACAAUGGGCGAAAGCAUGAUCCAGCAAUGCCGCGUGAGUGAUGAAGGCCUUAGGGUUGUAAAGCUCAUUUACCCGGGAUGAUAAUGACAGUACCGGGAGAAUAAGCCCCGGCUAACUCCGUG
rnacentral:rRNA from 1 species